rnacentral:lncRNA from 1 species
GGCCAGUGCCCCCGACCUCUGCCCCACAGAGGACCACAGGCAGCAGUAAACGCCUCCUGCUCAGAACAGAAAGAGGCUCCCGGGGUCUCUGGCCUCCUCUGCCAGGAGCCAGCUGUUCGGCCACCAGCUUCUCCCUCCCCUCUCCACCAGGGUGAGUGUCACACAGCUCACCCUGAUGCCAACCUCUGGGCCUUACACGGACAAGGCCGACCAUACCCUGAUGCCCUCAGAGACUUUGCUUUUCUGUGGAAAUCCUGUAUCUGCCCUCAGAUGAUGAGCUCCUGACCACAAUAAGGGCAGGCAACACACUGUAACUGUCGGCGCUGGGCACAGCCCCUCCAGCAGUUUACAGAGUGCUGCAGAGCACAAAUGUGCUGUGGAUGUGGAAACUGUCCUCUGGCCUGCAGUACCACGGUACAAAACCUGUGCAUGCAGAGAUAGCUGUGCCUCACAGCAUGAAGAAAGGCUGUUGGAAAGGACUGCUAUGUUAACUUAAAGACGACUUACUUCCUGCAAGUCCUGGAUUCAAUCCCCAAUGCCAAGAAUGAAUGAAUGGUUUGUUUGAAAAAGUCCCAAUGGUGCUGGGAAGAGCAUGAAAAAAAGCAAAUCAUGCAAAGAACAUAAAUCAAUAUGAUUCCUUUUUUUAAUAAACAGAAAUAAAUUAUGAAGAACACAGGAAACCUGAUCACACUGUGCUGGCCUCUUCAAUGGCCUCUUGGGGCAGCUUCUCCCCCAACUGGAUGACAAGCACCAGGCCAGGUCUCCCCGUGGGGCUCGGUCUCUGCUGGAUGUUUCUCCCCAGUCCCAGAGCAGUAGCCUCUGGUGGAUCAACACCAAGUUCUCUUUACCCUUUCAUCCACAGAUCUACUCACUCUGGUCAUGACAUUUACCAACUCCAGCAGUGAUUCUUACACAUUUCCGAGCAUCAGCUCAGUGAAGUCUGCCUUGGUCCAUAUUUUUCAUUUCCAUGAGAGCUGGAAUCAGAAGUCAGACACAGGCCACAGACAAGAUGCACUAACUGAGAUUAAUGCAAUUUUUUAAAUGAUGGAGCUCUUCAGAGAACUAUUUUACUACUUUGGCCCCAAAAGCCGACCAACUGAGGACUUAAUAUAUUUUUGAUAUUGGAUCACAAAUUUUCUACUACACCAAAGAUAGGUAUUUGGCUUGGUCUCUAAGAGAAAAUGAAAUGAAAUCAAGGAGGAUUUCAUCCUGAUCAAGACAGGAAACAACUGGCACACAUGAAAAUAUCAGAGGACACAAGUCUUCCCAGAGCAAAGCAGGCAGUGAGGGUGAAGUGGUCUGUCCACCAGCAACACUUCUCAGAGCUUGGGGAUGAGUUGGCUGUACUGGUCUGGGACAAAGGGCACGGGAUCAACAGAAAUAAGCAAGGAAUCCAGAAGCAAGAGGCCGGGGGCCCACACCCAACAGAUAUGGGAUUCAUCACCAGGCAUGAGGUCCGUGAAAAUAGGCAUGGGAGACAUGAGCAAUGGGCAAGAGGUCCCUGAGAAAAGGAAAUGGAAUCCAUGAACAAUGUAGAUGAGGUCCAUAUCAAAUGAGCACAGAGACAAUGACCAAAGGUAUGGGUCCCUAAAAAUGGACACAAGGUCCAUGAAAAUGGAUCUGGGCUCCACGAGCAAUGGACAUAGGAGUUCAUAAAACAGACCUGAAACUGGACAUGGGGUGCAUGAAGAUAGACCUGGGGUCUGUGAAAAAGGAUACGAAGUCCAUGAAAAUGUGCCUGGGUAGGGGUCAGGGAUUUAGCUCAGUGGUUCCACUGCCUGCCCUGCAAGUGAAAGGACCCAAGUCUGAUCCCCGGUACCAAAAAAAAACAAAGAAAAUGUGCUUGGGGUCCAAGAACCCUAAUGGGCAUAGAAUUAAAAACACUUGGCAUGGAGCUCAUAAGUGGAUUUGAGUUCCAUGAACAAUAGGCAUGGAGUCCAUGAACAAUGGCAUGGGGUCCAAGAAGGGGCAUAAGGUCCAUAAACAAGGGGCAUGAGAUCAAUGAAU